UACGUAGGGUGCAAGCGUUGUCCGGAAUUAUUGGGCGUAAAGAGCUCGUAGGCGGUUUGUCGCGUCUGCUGUGAAAACUCGGGGCUUAACCCCGGGCCUGCAGUGGGUACGGGCAGACUAGAGUGCGGUAGGGGAGACUGGGAAUUCCUGGUGUAGCGGUGAAAUGCGCAGAUAUCGAUAAGGAAGACCAGUGGCGAAGGCGGGUCUCUGGACAGUUCCUGACGCUGAGGCACGAAGGCCAGGGGGAGCAAACGGGG
rnacentral:rRNA from 1 species